rnacentral:lncRNA from 1 species
UUUUACUAUGUUUACUCCCUUUCCACUAUAAUUAAUUCACCACUAUUUUUCUAUUAUUAAAAUAAAACCCAUUAAUUAAUUUUCUAAUUAAUAUAUUAUAUUGGUUAUUUAAACUAGGAUAUAAUUUAAUCUAGUUUAUUAAUUAAAUUUUCAUAUAUCACUUAAUUAAUUAAAAUGGGCUAAUUUGAAUAAUAAAAAUCUAAUUAUAUUUUUUU